GAUGAACGCUGGCGGCGUGCCUUAAGCAUGCAAGUCGAACGGUUGAGUCGCAAGACAAGACAGUGGCAGACGGGUGAGUAACGCGUAGGAAUCUACCCCUAGGUAGAGGAUAGCCCCGCGAAAGCGGGGGUAAUACUUUAUGGCCCCGCAAGGGUAAAGGACUUAACGGUCCGCCAAGGGAGGAGCCUGCGUCCUAUCAGCUAGUUGGUGAGGUAAUAGCUUACCAAGGCGAUGACGGGUAGCUGGACUGAGAGGUUGGUCAGCCACAACUGCACUGAGAUACGGGCAGUACACCUACGGGUGGCUG
rnacentral:rRNA from 1 species